rnacentral:lncRNA from 1 species
AAAUUUCUUAAUUGAUGGAAUAUAAGAGUUGAAAUCUCAAAUUUUCAGCACAAACUUGGCCACUAAAGGCCCAAAUCUGAGCCCAACUCGCUCAAGCUCAUACUCACUCUCCAUUUGACCUAACCUACUUCUUACUCCCCUUAAAAAAAAAGACUCCAUCCCUUCUUCACGAGGGACCAGCCGUUUUCUACACUUCAACACUACCAUUCAACUCCACAUAAUAUACACACAUAGAGGACGAUGAAGAAAUAGAUCUGGGACGUCUAAAAACAAAGAAAGAGUGGAGGAGGAUUGGGUCUUCUUCUCCAAAAACCCAACAACUUUCAGCUAUUAAAAGCUUUUCUUCUACUGUUAACGCAACUUUUCUCCUCCAUCCAAGCACCCACAUCUUCUCUUAAAAGCCACCAAUGCUUCGGCUAUGAGCACCCAAGUGAAGCAUCACUAAAAGGCACCAAAAACUCACCCAAAACGAGUUGAAAACACUGAGAAAAGCAGCUCCGAAACAGUUGCGUUGUUGCUGCCCAACAGCAACCAAACAACCAAGAAAUAGCUUCAAAAAUGCCAAAAAAAACAUGAAUACCCCAGUGAAAAUCAGCCAAAACUAACAUCGAAUCAAUCCCGAAACCAGAACAAGAAGUCCAAUGAAUAUAGAAAAACAUCUCAAAAUAUCCAUAAAGCUCAAUCCAAAAUCACUGAAACACCAUAAUAUUUGUCCAAGGUACAUUUACCUGAGUUUGAUCGGUUUCGAGGCUGUCGACGCGUUUCAUCAGCUUGAUUCAAAUCUUGUUGUGUUCUGCACAAAAUAGUUCGUUUGGAGCAUUUGUUAAUAAAGUCAGAAAGUAUUUACAUUAUUAAAAAUCCACUAUUUCUAUCUUUAGUUACUAUUUUUUAGUUGAAUAUUGUUUGUUAUUUGUUUCCGUUAAACCAUUUGAUUGCUUCAUUUGGUUAAAGAUUUUGAAGGAAUGUUAUAUUAUUUUUUUCAUAUUUCGUUCAUGAGAUUUAUUUGGUCAAUGAAUUUAUUUAUUUAUUUAAGAUAAAAGAUUAAAAUUGAGUUAAGUGUAUUUUUGUGAAAUGGACACCAUGAAGAGUUACGCUUGGC